rnacentral:rRNA from 1 species
UACAGAGGGUGCGAGCGUUAAUCGGAAUUACUGGGCGUAAAGCGCGCGUAGGCGGCUCUGCAAGCCGGAUGUGAAAUCCCCGGGCUCAACCUGGGAACUGCAUUCGGGACUGCAUUGCUAGAGUAUGGGAGAGGGAAGUGGAAUUUCAGGUGUAGCGGUGAAAUGCGUAGAUAUCUGAAGGAACAUCAGUGGCGAAAGCGACUUCCUGGACCAAUACUGACGCUCAUGUACGAAAGCGUGGGGAGCAAACAGG